rnacentral:rRNA from 1 species
CAAUAGCGUACAGCAAAGUUGUUGCGGUUGAGAAGCUCGUAGUUGGGUUUCUGCCGAGGACGACGGGUCCGCCCUCUGGGUGAGUAUCUGGCUCGGCCUGAGCGUCUUCUUGGAGAGCGUAGCUGCAGCAUGGAAUAAAGUAGGACCUCGGUUCUAUUUUGUUGGUUUCUAGAGCUGAGGUAAUGAUUAAUAGGGAUAGUUGGGGGCAUUUGUAUUUAAUUGUCAGAGGUGGAAUUCUCGGAUUUGUUAAAGAUGGACUACUGCGAAAGAAUUUGCCAAGGAUGUUUUCAUUGA